rnacentral:rRNA from 1 species
CCUACGGGGUGCAGCAGUGGGGAAUAUUGGACAAUGGGCGAAAGCCUGAUCCAGCCAUGCCGCGUGUGUGAAGAAGGCCUUCGGGUUGUAAAGCACUUUCAGUGGGGAAGAAAGCCUUGGGGCUAAUACCCUCGAGGAAGGACAUCACCCACAGAAGAAGCACCGGCUAACUCCGUGCCAGCAGCCGCGGUAAUACGGAGGGUGCGAGCGUUAAUCGGAAUUACUGGGCGUAAAGCGCGCGUAGGCGGUCUGAUAAGCCGGUUGUGAAAGCCCCGGGCUCAACCUGGGAACGGCAUCCGGAACUGUCAGGCUAGAGUGCAGGAGAGGAAGGUAGAAUUCCCGGUGUAGCGGUGAAAUGCGUAGAGAUCGGGAGGAAUACCAGUGGCGAAGGCGGCCUUCUGGACUGACACUGACGCUGAGGUGCGAAAGCGUGGGUAGCAAACAGGAUUAGAUACCCGAGUAGU